rnacentral:rRNA from 1 species
CGAGUGAAGCGGCAGCAGCUCAAAUUUGAAAUCCGGCGCCCCCGGCGCCCGAGUUGUAAUUUGUAGAGGGUGGCUCGGGCCCGUCCCCGUCCAAGUCCCCUGGAACGGGGCGUCGUGGAGGGUGAGAAUCCCGUACGCGGCGGGGCGACGUGCCCGUGUGAGCCCCCUUCGACGAGUCGAGUUGUUUGGGAAUGCAGCUCUAAAUGGGAGGUAAAUUCCUUCUAAAGCUAAAUACCGGCCAGAGACCGAUAGCGCACAAGUAGAGUGAUCGAAAGAUGAAAAGCACUUUGGAAAGAGAGUCAAAAAGCACGUGAAAUUGUUGAAAGGGAAGCGCUCACGAUCAGACUCGGGCGCGGGUGCUCAACCCCAGCGGGUGCAUCGCCCGCGCCCGGGCCAGCAUCGGUUCGGGCGGCCGGAUGAAGGCCCCGGGAACGUGGCUCCUCUCGGGGAGUGUUAUAGCCCGGGGCGCAACGCGGCCCGCCCGGACCGAGGACCGCGUUCGCUAGGAUGCUGGCGUAAUGGUCGUUAGCGGCCCGUCUUGAAACACGGACCAAGGAGUCUACCAUCUGUGCGAGUCCUAGGGUGCGAAACCCUCGGGGCGCAAUGAGAGUGAACGGAGGUGGGAACGUUUUCGCGCACCAUCGACCGAUCCAGAAGUCCUCGGACGGAUUUGAGUAAGAGCACCGCUGGUGGGACCCGAAAGAUGGUGAACUAUGCGCGGAUAGGGUGAAGCCAGAGGAAACUCUGGUGGAGGCUCGCAGCGGUUCUGACGUGCAAAUCGAUCGUCAAAUCUACGCAUAGGGGCGAAAGACUAAUCGAACCAUCUAGUAGCUGGUUCCUGCCGAAGUUUCCCUCAGGAUAGCAGUCACGUCUUCAGUUUUAUGAGGUAGAGCGAAUGAUUAGAGGCCUUGGGGUUGAAACAACCUUAACCUAUUCUCAAACUUCGAAUAUGUAAGAAGCCCUUGUUACUUGAUUGAACGUGGGCAUUCGAAUGUAUCGUGACUAGUGGGCCAUUUUUGGUAAGCAGAACUGGCGAUGCGGGAUGAACCGAACGCGAGGUUAAGGUGCCGGAAUGCACGCUCAUCAGACACCACAAAAGGUGUUAGUUCAUCCAGACAGCAGGACGGUGGCCAUGGAAGUCGGAACCCGCUAAGGAGUGUGUAACAACUCACCUGCCGAAUGAACUAGCCCUGAAAAUGGAUGGCGCUCAAGCGUGCUACCCAUACCUCGCCGUCGGGGUGGAAACGAUGCCCCGACGAGUAGGCAGGCGCGGGGGCCCGUGACGAAGCCUCGGGAGCGAUCCCGGGUCGAACGACCCCCGGUGCAGAUCUUGGUGGGAGUAGCAAAUACUCAAGUGAGAACUUUGAGGACUGAAGUGGGGAAGGGUUCCGUGUGAACAGCAGUUGGACACGGGUUAGUCGGUCCUAAGCGAUAGGGGGAACCCGUAAAAGUGCGCGCCCGCGCCGUCUCGCGAAAGGGAAGCCGGUUAACAUCCCGGCACCCGGAUGUGGAUUCUUCGCGGCAACGCAACCGAAGGCGGAGACGACGGCCGGAGCCCCGGGUAGAGUUUUCUUUUCUACUUAACGGCCCGCCACCCUGAAAACGGUUUGUCCGGAGCUAGGGUUCGAUGGCCGGUAGAGCCCCGCACCUCUGCGGGGUCCGGUGCGCUCCAGACGUCCCUUGAAA